rnacentral:rRNA from 1 species
UACGUAGGGGGCAAGCGUUGUCCGGAUUUAUUGGGCGUAAAGAGCGUGUAGGCGGCUUUGCAAGUCCGUUGUGAAAACUCGAGGCUCAACCUCGAGACGCCGGUGGAAACUGCAAAGCUAGAGUCCGGAAGAGGAGAGUGGAAUUCCUGGUGUAGCGGUGAAAUGCGCAGAUAUCAGGAAGAACACCCGUGGCGAAGGCGGCUCUCUGGGACGGUACUGACGCUGAGACGCGAAAGCAUGGGGAGCGAACAGG